rnacentral:rRNA from 1 species
GACGAACCACACGAACGUUAUUCGGAAUUACUGGGCGUAAAGGGCGCGUAGGCGGCCACCGCAAGUCGGUUGUGAAAUCUCCGGGCUUAACCCGGAAAGGUCAACCGAUACUGCGGGGCUAGAGUGCAGAAGGGGCAACUGGAAUUCUCGGUGUAGCGGUGAAAUGCGUAGAUAUCGAGAGGAACACCUGCGGCGAAGGCGGGUUGCUGGGCUGACACUGACGCUGAAGUGCGAAAGCUAGGGGAGCGAACGGG